rnacentral:tRNA from 1 species
AUCUGGUUGAAGGGUCGGUGGAAGGCUGGUUAAGCCGUUUGGUUGUCGACCACUACGACCCGGGUUCGAUCCCCGCAUUAGACA